GAAUGCACAUUAAUUAUUUAACAGUUAAUUAUAUAGUUAAGAAAUUUUGAACCCGAGUUCAAAGUGCCGUUUGCACAUUAAUUCCUUAAACCCGAGUUCAAGAGUGUAAACUGCGGUUCAAAGUCUUAAACUGGGGUUAACAAGCGCGGAAUGUACAUUUAUUAUCUAACUGUUGAAUAUAUACAGUAAAAAUACUAAAAUGAAAGUUUUGACACACCAUGCGAAUGUCCUAUCAAGUAAAGGUGACGAUUAACCAAAAUGAAGUGUAAUAUAACCUAAUUCAAUGGGUUUUAUGCGGUGCGAGUGUUCACAAAACACCGGUUGACAUUGAAAAUGACAUGGGACGAUGAUGGGUAAAAAACAAUCUCGUCGAUUAACAUUUCUCAAUUAUCAACGAGUUUAAGCCGUUGAUACUGCAUUGCAUGGGAAGAAAAGGUGAUAUUAGGUUGGCGGUCCUCUUCUGAAUGUUGUCAAUUACGUUGAGCGCACGUGGAUACGGGGAUCCAUGUGGAAGCCGGAGAACUGGACAAACAGUUAGGACUAACAACGAUGUUGAAGGCUGGCAUCGAAGAAUCAAUACGCGAGCCGGGCGCGCUGACUUAGGAUUCUACAUGCUCGUCCCCCUAAUACGUAUGAGGCGGCGACAGUGGACGUGACGAUUCGUCUAGUGUCGGAGCACUCGCUUGCCCGUAUCCAUAGAAGGAAAUACAAGGACGUCCACGGAAAACUAUUCGACACCUGGGACAAAUAUGAGGACGAUGAAAUCACCACCACUCAACUUCUGAGGCGAUGCAGCAACAUCACAGGCCUUGGGCCCGAUUCAACACAUGACCCAAUCCACGACGAAGAUGUCUGAAAAAGAACAUGGACAUUUAAGAGACAGAAGUGUUGUUGUGUACAUAGUUGUAAAUAUUUAUUUUUGGUGUAAUAUUGUUUGGAAAUAAAUGUAUCUGGUGCGUAAAGGUAAGUAUAUUAUUGUACCGUUUAUUGAGUAUAUUUGUAUUUGAUUAUGUUUUAUAUGCAGAUAUUUAUUAACCAGGUUUUCCGAAGGAAAAAACUGGUUAUUAGAUUGGCGAAUGCGGGCGGGCUGGCGGGCGACGGAACAAGCUUGUCCGGGCCAUAACUAUGUCAUUCAUUGUGAGAUUUUAAAAUCAUUUGGCACAUUUGUUCACCAUCAUGGGACGGUGUGUCGCACGAAAGAAUCACGUCAAUAUCUCCAAUGUCAAGGUCGCCACGACUAAAAAUAUAUUUUUUUAAACAAACUUACAAAGGGAGUUAAUUCUGUUUGUUCAUUUCAAAAGUUCAGUUUGAGUUUUCUCCCUUUAUCAGAUUUUUUUUUCACAAUGAAAACCUGGUUUUGUGACAAUUUUGUCCCUUGUUUUUGUUGUAAUAUUGCUUGCAAAUAAAAGUGUGUUGUGUAAAGGUAAGUAUAUUAUUAUACCGUUUAUUGAGUAGAUUUGUAUUUGAUUGUAUCUUUAUGUUUUAUAUGCAAAUUUUUUUUGGUGUAAUAUUGCUUGCAAAUAAAUGUAUGUGUUG